rnacentral:rRNA from 1 species
AUUGAACGCUGGCGGCAGGCCUAACACAUGCAAGUCGAACGAGUGGCGGACGGGUGAGUAGUGUCUGGGAAACUGCCCGAUGGCGGAGGAUAACUACUGGAAACGGUAUCUAAUACCGCCUACCAUCGGAUGUGCCCAGAUGGGCUUAGCUAUUAGGUGUGGGAACGGCUCACCUAGGCGACGAUCCCUAGGUGGUCUGAGAGGAUGCCCAGCCACACUGGAACUGAGACACGGUCCAGACUCCUACGGGAGGCUGCAGUGGGGAAUAUUGCACAAUGGGCGCAAGCCUGAUGCAGCCAUGCCGCGUGUAUGAAGAAGUCCUUCGGGUUGUAAAGUACUUUCAGCGAGGAGGCGUGACUCGCAGAAGAAGCACCGGCUAACUCCGUGCCAGCCGCCGCGGUAAUAC